GACGAACGCUGGCGGCGUGCUUAACACAUGCAAGUCGAGCGGAGCGGCGAACGGGUGAGUAACGCGUGAGUAACUGCCCCCCUCUCUGGGAUAACAGUUGGAAACGGCUGCUAAUACCGGAUAGUGGGGGAUGACUCGCGUCCUAUCCGCUUGUUGGUGGGGUAGUGGCCUCCCAAGGGGACGACGGGUACCCGGCCUGGGAGGGCGACCGGCCACAUUGGGCUGAGGUACGGACCAGACUCGUACGGGAGGCAGCGGGGGAGAAUAUGGCGCAGUGGGGGAAACCAUGAUGCAGCAACGCCGCGUGCGGGAUGACGGCCUUCGGGUUGUAAACCGCUUUCAGCCAUGACGCGGUAGUGGCAGAAGAAGCACCGGCUAACUACGUGCCAGCAGCCGCGGUAAUAC
rnacentral:rRNA from 1 species